rnacentral:rRNA from 1 species
ACGAACGCUGGCGGCAGGCUUAACACAUGCAAGUCGAACGCUCCGCAAGGAGAGUGGCAGACGGGUGAGUAACACGUGGGAACGUACCCUUUACUACGGAACAACUCCGGGAAACUGGAGCUAAUACCGUAUGUGCCCUUCGGGGGAAAGAUUUAUCGGUAAAGGAUCGGCCCGCGUUGGAUUAGCUAGUUGGUGGGGUAAAGGCCUACCAAGGCGACGAUCCAUAGCUGGUCUGAGAGGAUGAUCAGCCACAUUGGGACUGAGACACGGCCCAAACUCCUACGGGAGGCAGCAGUGGGGAAUAUUGGACAAUGGGCGCAAGCCUGAUCCAGCCAUGCCGCGUGUGUGAUGAAGGCCUUAGGGUUGUAAAGCACUUUCACCGGAGAAGAUAAUGACGGUAUCCGGAGAAGAAGCCCCGGCUAACUUCGU